rnacentral:rRNA from 1 species
GUGAGUAACGCGUGAGAAUCUACCUUAGGACGGGGACAACNAAUGGAAACGAUUGCUAAUACCCGAUAUGCCCUUCGGGGUGAAAUGUUUUAUCGCCUAAAGAUGAGCUCGCGUCCGAUUAGCUAGUAGGUAGUGUAAUGGACUACCUAGGCGAUGAUCGGUAGCUGGUUUGAGAGGACAAUCAGCCACACUGGGACUGAGACACGGCCCAGACUCCUACGGGAGGCAGCAGUGGGGAAUUUUCCGCAAUGGGCGCAAGCCUGACGGAGCAAUACCGCGUGGGGGAGGAAGGUCUGUGGAUUGUAAACCCCUUUUCUCAGGGAAGAAGCUCUGACGGUACCUGAGGAAUAAGCAUCGGCUAACUCCGUGCCAGCAGCCGCGGUAAUACGGAGGAUGCAAGCGUUAUCCGGAAUUAUUGGGCGUAAAGCGUCCGCAGGCGGCUAGAUAAGUCUGCUUCAAAGAGUGGGCUCAACCCCAUAGGGGGAGUGGAAACUGUUUAGCUAGAGUAUGGUAGGGGCAGAGGGAUUCCCAGUGUAGCGGUGAAAUGCGUAGAUAUUGGGAAGAACACCAGUGGCGAAGGCGCUCUGCUGGACCGAGACUGACGCUGAGGGACGAAA